rnacentral:rRNA from 1 species
CCUACGGGAGGCAGCAGUGGGGAAUAUUGCACAAUGGGGGAAACCCUGAUGCAGCGACGCCGCGUGAGUGAAGAAGUAUUUCGGUACGUAAAGCUCUAUCAGCAGGGAAGAAAAUGACGGUACCUGACUAAGAAGCCCCGGCUAACUACGGGCCAGCAGCCGCGGUAAUACGUAGGGGGCAAGCGUUAUCCGGAUUUACUGGGUGUAAAGGGAGCGUAGACGGCAGCGCAAGUCUGGAGUGAAAUCCCAUGGCUUAACCAUGGAACUGCUUUGGAAACUGUGCAGCUAGAGUGCAGGAGAGGUAAGCGGAAUUCCUAGUGUAGCGGUGAAAUGCGUAGAUAGUAGGAGGAACACCAGUGGCGAAGGCGGCUUACUGGACUGUAACUGACGUUGAGGCUCGAAAGCGUGGGGAGCAAACAGGAUUAGAUACCCCUGUAGUC